rnacentral:rRNA from 1 species
UGCCCUACGGGAGGCAGCAGUGGGGGAUAUUGCACAAUGGGGGGAACCCUGAUGCAGCGACGCCGCGUGAAGGAAGAAGUAUCUCGGUAUGUAAACUUCUAUCAGCAGGGAAGAAAAUGACGGUACCUGACUAAGAAGCCCCGGCUAACUACGUGCCAGCAGCCGCGGUAAUACGUAGGGGGCAAGCGUUAUCCGGAUUUACUGGGUGUAAAGGGAGCGUAGGCGGCAGUGCAAGUCAGAAGUGAAAGCCCGGGGCUCAACCCCGGGACUGCUCUUGGAGCUGCGUGGCUGGAGUGCAGGAGGGG